rnacentral:misc_RNA from 1 species
UCCCCGUUACCGGGGCAGUCUGAAUAGAAAAAUCCAACUAUUCAUAAGGGUUGCGCUCGUUGAAGGACUUAACCUAACAUCUCACGACACGAGCUGACGACGGCCAUGCAUCACCUGUCACUGAGUUCCGGCUCUCAAUACACAAACUUUCGUUUCUGUACUCAGAGCCGGCACUCACUUCUUUCGAAGUAAUUCUCAGGAUGUCAAAUCUUGGUAAGGUUCUUGGCUUAGCAUCCAAUUAGACAACACGCUCCACCGCUUGUGCGGGUCCCCGUCAAUUCCUUUGAGUUUCGGUCUUGCGACCGUACUCCCCAGGCGGAGUGUUUCACGCGUUAGCUGGGCCCCUGAUCCACGUAGACCAAGGGCGAACACUCAUCGUUUACGGCAUGGACUAC